rnacentral:rRNA from 1 species
GACGAACGCUGGCGGCGUGCUUAACACAUGCAAGUCGAACGGUGAAGCUCCAGCUUGCUGGUGUGGAUCAGUGGCGAACGGGUGAGUAACACGUGAGCAACCUGCCCCUGACUCUGGAAUAAGCGCUGGAAACGGCGUCUAAUACUGGAUACGAGAAGGGUCCGCAUGGGCACUUUCUGGAAAGUUUUUCGGUUGGGGAUGGGCUCGCGGCCUAUCAGCUUGUUGGUGAGGUAAUGGCUCACCAAGGCGACGACGGGUAGCCGGCCUGAGAGGGAGACAGGCCACACUGGGACAGAGACACGGCCCAGACUCCUACGGGAGGCAGCAGUGGGGAAUAUUGCACAAUGGGCGAAAGCCUGAUGCAGCGACGCCGCGUGAGGGAUGACGGCCUUCGGGUUGUAAACCUCGUUCAGCAGGGAAGAAGCGAAAGUGACAGUACCUGCAGAAGAAGCACCGGCUAACUACGUG